rnacentral:rRNA from 1 species
AACGAACGCUGGCGGCAGGCUUAACACAUGCAAGUCGAGCGCCCCGCAAGGGGAGCGGCAGACGGGUGAGUAACGCGUGGGAAUCUACCCAUCUCUACGGAAUAACGCAUGGAAACGUGUGCUAAUACCGUAUACGUCCUUCGGGAGAAAGAUUUAUCGGAGAUGGAUGAGCCCGCGUUGGAUUAGCUAGUUGGUGGGGUAAAGGCCUACCAAGGCGACGAUCCAUAGCUGGUCUGAGAGGAUGAUCAGCCACACUGGGACUGAGACACGGCCCAGACUCCUACGGGAGGCAGCAGUGGGGACUAUGGGACAAUGGGCGCAAGCCUGAUCCAGCCAUGCCGCGUGAGUGAUGAAGGCCCUAGGGUUGUAAAGCUCUUUCACCGGUGAAGAUAAUGACGGUAACCGGAGAAGAAGCCCCGGCUAACUUCGUGCCAGCAGCCGCAGUAACAC